CUGGUCCAAGUGCAGUGGUGUUUACAACUAAUUGAUCACAACCAGUUACAGAUUUCUUUGUUCCUUCUCCACUUCCACUGCUUCACUUGACUAG
rnacentral:Y_RNA from 1 species